rnacentral:rRNA from 1 species
GGAGUUAGCCGGUGCUUCUUCUGCGAGUAACGCACAGCUAGCAGGUAUUAACUACUAACCUUUCCUCCUCGCUGAAAGUGCUUUACAACCCGAAGGCCUUCUUCACACACGCGGCAUGGCUGCAUCAGGGUUUCCCCCAUUGUGCAAUAUUCCCCACUGCUGCCUCCCGUAGGAGUCUGGGCCGUGUCUCAGUCCCAGUGUGGCUGAUCAUCCUCUCAGACCAGCUAGGGAUCGUUGCCUAGGUGAGCCAUUACCUCACCUACUAGCUAAUCCCACCUGGGCUUAUCCAUCAGCGCAAGGACCGAAGUUCCCCUGCUUUCCCCCGUAGGGCGUAUGCGGUAUUAGCAGUCGUUUCCAACUGUUAUCCCCACAAAUGGGCAAAUUCCCAGGCAUUACUCACCCGUCCGCCGCUCGUCAUCUUCAAAAGCAAGCUUUUGAAAUGUUACCGCUCGACUUGCAUGUGUUAGGCCUGCCGCCAGCGUUCAAUCUGAGCCAGAAUCGAACCCUGA